rnacentral:ncRNA from 1 species
CUCUGUUUCGCUAAUGAUUCAGGGCAGAAAGAG